GGGUAUAGGGCUCAGGGGUAGAGCACAUGGUCGGCACAUAUGUGGCCCUGGGUUCAAUACCCAGUACCA
rnacentral:tRNA from 1 species